rnacentral:rRNA from 1 species
UACGGAGGGGACUAGCGUUGUUCGGAAUUACUGGGCGUAAAGCGCACGUAGGCGGAUUUGUAAGUCAGGGGUGAAAUCCCGGGGCUCAACCUCGGAACUGCCUUUGAUACUGCAAAUCUCGAGUCCGGAAGAGGUGAGUGGAAUUCCUAGUGUAGAGGCGAAAUUCGUAGAUAUUCGCAAGAACACCAGUGGCGAAGGCGGCUCACUGGCCCAUAACUGACGCUGAGGCACGAAAGCGUGGGGAGCAAACAGG